CAUGCAAGUCGAGCGGUAAGGCCCUUCGGGGUACACGAGCGGCGAACGGGUGAGUAACACGUGGGUGAUCUGCCUCGCACUUCGGGAUAAGCCUGGGAAACUGGGUCUAAUACCGGAUAUGACCUGCUGUCGCAUGGCGGUGGGUGGAAAGAUUUAUCGGUGCGAGAUGGGCCCGCGGCCUAUCAGCUUGUUGGUGGGGUAAUGGCCUACCAAGGCGACGACGGGUAGCCGGCCUGAGAGGGCGACCGGCCACACUGGGACUGAGACACGGCCCAGACUCCUACGGGAGGCAGCAGUGGGGAAUAUUGCACAAUGGGCGAAAGCCUGAUGCAGCGACGCCGCGUGAGGGAUGACGGCCUUCGGGUUGUAAACCUCUUUCGACAGGGACGAAGCGCAAGUGACGGUACCUGUAGAAGAAGCACCGGCCAACUACGUGCCAGCAGCCGCGGUAAUACGUAGGGUGCGAGCGUUGUCCGGAAUUACUGGGCGUAAAGAGCUUGUAGGCGGUUUGUCGCGUCGUCCGUGAAAACUUGGGGCUCAACCCCAAGCUUGCGGGCGAUACGGGCAGACUUGAGUACUGCAGGGGAGACUGGAAUUCCUGGUGUAGCGGUGAAAUGCGCAGAUAUCAGGAGGAACACCGGUGGCGAAGGCGGGUCUCUGGGCAGUAACUGACGCUGAGAA
rnacentral:rRNA from 1 species